GAGACUUGAAGGAGCUGCACAAGGUGGACAUGCGUAGGAAAAACGAUAAUGAUUGCUGAGAGGUUCACAAGGACUACAUCAAGGCUUGGGAUUGUAGGAUGAAAUUCUUACCCAUCCACGAACCAUUUUUCUCAGUGAACACGGUAGCCUGUUUAGGGUACUUGUCGUGGUUCAGAGUCACCGACAAGUUGUAUCUGCUAUCAAUGGAUACGAGGAGCAGGCAACUUUGUCAAAAGAGGCAAUGAAG
rnacentral:lncRNA from 1 species